rnacentral:lncRNA from 1 species
AACUAGAAAAAAAUAUGCUGAAGUUCGCAAUACAGAAAUAAUUAUUAAUAAGAUAGCUUUAAAGCCCUGCUCAGCUUUUGAAUGUUGGGAAUUGACCCAGAGGUGGCUGUAACCUAAGAUGGUUCCUUCAGUAAUGACCAUUUUUUCUUUUUCAAGAUGAUGAUUAUUCCCCACCUUCUAAGAGACAAAGACCAACGAGCCACCACAGCCACCAGUCCCAGAACCCGCCAAUGCUGGGGAACGGAAAAUGAGGGAGUUCAACUCUGGCCCUCACAAUCCAGUGGAGGAGACGAAACUCAUCUGCCUCUGUCCCUCUGGGCACGCCUCAUGCCAGGUGCAUCUGUGGACAGGGGCCAUGCUCCUGGGCUUCCAAAGUUGGAGAAAGCUGCCAGGCUCAGAGCCACCUAAGCUGAAGAUUCCCUUGAGAACAAGUACUGUCCCUAGUUUCCCAGUGCUGGAAUAUAGAAAAUGGAUGGACAAGUAAAUCCCACUCAGCACCCAUAGUCCAGGCAUGGGGACCUCAACACACCUGAGCCCCAGACAUCACCUUUCAUUCUGGACCUACCAUGAAAGACUUCUGAAUCCAGGAAGAGAAACUGACUGGGCAACAUGUUAUUCAAAAACAGGACCUUGCCCUGUCACUAGGAUGGAGUUCAGUGGUCCUAUCAUGGCUCAUUAUAGCCUCAAACUCCCAGGCUCAAGCAAUCCUACCAUGUCAGCCUUCCCAGUAGCUGGGACUACAGGAAGUGAGCUCACAAUGACUCAAGCUGCCACAUACUGUUGAUUGUGAAAUGCCAGUUGAAGCAUAUGUCCUGCGAGCUUAGGGGUGCUACAAGUUGACCACUGCAGCAGUAAAGAUGACUCUGAAGAAUGGCGUGGGAUGGUUCCUUUCAAAUGCACUUGAGCAGCGGUCUCCAACCACAGGGCCACAGAGCUGGAGCUGGAUCUACCAUGAAAGACUUGUGAAUCCAGGAAGAGAGACUGACUGGGCAACAUGUUAUUCAGGUGGGAACAUCCAGUUGCAGGAAAACAAGCUUAACACGCCCCCUGAUUCUACAUUAUGCUCCUACCUCCCGGCAGCCUCUCCAGGCCCAGAACUUUCUCCAGUCAGCCUCUACAGACCAAGCUCAUGACUCACAAUGGCCUAUUUAGGCCCAUACCCUACGUCACGGCAGCCUCCGCAGAUGAGCCUACUGCCUCACAGCAGCCUCCACAGGCACAGCUCCAUCGUUACAAUGGCCUCUUUAGACCCAGCUCCUGCCUCCCAGCCUUCUCUCCAGGCUCUGAACUUUCUCAGGUCUCCCUCUGUUGUCCAAGGCUGGAGUGUAGUAGUGC